UAGGGAAUCUUCCACAACUGUUACGCAAGUCUGAUGGAGCAACGCCGCGUGAGUGAAGAAGGUCUUCGGAUCGUAAAACUCUGUUGUUAGAGAAGAACACGAGUGAGAGUAACUGUUCAUUCGAUGACGGUAUCUAACCAGCAAGUCACGGCUAACUACGUGCCAGCAGCCGCGGUAAUACGUAGGUGGCAAGCGUUGUCCGGAUUUAUUGGGCGUAAAGGGAACGCAGGCGGUCUUUUAAGUCUGAUGUGAAAGCCUUCGGCUUAACCGGAGUAGUGCAUUGGAAACUGGAAGACUUGAGUGCAGAAGAGGAGAGUGGAACUCCAUGUGUAGCGGUGAAAUGCGUAGAUAUAUGGAAGAACACCAGUGGCGAAAGCGGCUCUCUGGUCUGUAACUGACGCUGAGGUUCGAAAGCGUGGGUAGCAAACAGGAUUAGAUACCCUGGUAGUCCACGCCGUAAACGAUGAAUGCUAGGUGUUGGAGGGUUUCCGCCCUUCAGUGCCGCAGCUAACGCAAUAAGCAUUCCGCCUGGGGAGUACGACCGCAAGGUUG
rnacentral:rRNA from 1 species